rnacentral:rRNA from 1 species
CCCGCUGAACUUAAGCAUAUCAAUAAGCGGAGGAAAAGAAACUAACAAGGAUUCCCUUAGUAACGGCGAGUGAAGUGGGAAUAGCUCAAAUUUUAAAUCGGUGGGCUUUGCUCUCCGAGUUGUAAUCUAUAGAGUCGUUUUCUGUCUAAGCGGUGGUACAAGUUCCCUGGAAAGGGGCAUCAGAGAGGGUGAGAAUCCCGUACCUGACCACGAGCUGAUGGCUAUAUGAUACGGCUUCUACGAGUCGAGUUGUUUGGGAAUGCAGCUCAAAAUGGGUGGUAAAUUUCAUCUAAAGCUAAAUAAUGGCAAGAGACCGAUAGCGAACGAGUACCGUGAGGGAAAGAUGAAAAGCACUUUGAAAAGAGAGUUAAAUAGUACGUGAAAUUGUUAAAAGGGAAACGAUUAAGGCCAGUAUUUUCUGCUAGACUCUGCCAACCUUGGUUGGUUUAUUCUCUAGUGGAAAAGUCAGCAUCAGUUUUGUUUGCCGGAUAGAGUUAGCAGGAAGGUGACUCUUUUUAAGAGUUUUAUAGACUGUUAGCAGAACGGCGAGCGGGGACUGAGGACUGCAGCGUAGCGCAAGCAUUUCCAGAUCUUUUCUAUGUGACUCUAGGCUUUUUGGGCAACUAUUGACCAGAGAGUACUAGUAUUUCAUAAGUUGAGUAUGGUUACAUACGCUUAGGAUGCUGACGAAAUGGUCUUAAACGACCCGUCUUGAAACACGG